GCUGGGCAUGGUGGCACACGCCUGUAGUCCCAGCUACUUGGGAGGCUGAGGCAGGAGAAUCACUUGAACCCAGGAGGCAGAGUUUGCAGUGAGCCAAGAUUGUGCCACUGCACUCCAGCCUGGGUGACAGAGUGAGAUCCUGUCUCAA
rnacentral:sRNA from 1 species